rnacentral:rRNA from 1 species
GAUGAACGCUGGCGGCGUGCCUAAUACAUGCAAGUCGAGCGAACAGACUAGGAGCUUGCUCCUUUGACGUUAGCGGCGGACGGGUGAGUAACACGUGGAUAACCUACCUAUAAGACUGGGAUAACUUCGGGAAACCGGAGCUAAUACCGGAUAAUAUAUUGAACCGCAUGGUUCAAUAGUGAAAGACGGUUUUGCUGUCACUUAUAGAUGGAUCAGCGCCGCAUUAGCUAGUUGGUAAGGUAACGGCUUACCAAGGCAACGAUGCGUAGCCGACCUGAGAGGGUGAUCGGCCACACUGGAACUGGGACACGGUCCAGACUCCUACGGGAGGCAGCAGUAGGGAAUCUUCCGCAAUGGGCGAAAGCCUGACGGAGCAACGCCGCGUGAGUGAUGAAGGUCUUCGGAUCGUAAAACUCUGUUAUUAGGGAAGAACAAAUGUGUAAGUAACUAUGCACGUCUUGACGGUACCUAAUCAGAAAGCCACGGCUAACUACGUG